rnacentral:ncRNA from 1 species
UUAGAGGCUAUGAUAGGAAGGAGUACGUUAUUACCGCCGUAUAGAGAGGAGAUCCGUGGCUGAAAGAUCUCUCGGAAGUGGGAUAGCGGAAGGUAGUCCUGGAGCUAUUGCAUUGAAUUGAUAGUAGGUGCAGUCGGUAUGCCCCGUUAUGGUACUGGAGUUUGAGUGAUUCUAAAGAGUAGAGUUAUCUCAAAGAAACAAGGUGGUACCACGAAAGUAUGCUCUUUCGUCCUUUUA